AUACUACUCCCUCCGUUCGGAAUUACUUGUCGUUAAAAUGGAUGUAUCUAGAACUAAAAUACAUCUAGGUACAUCCAUUUCUCCGACAAGUAUUUCCGGACGGAGGGAGUACAUG
rnacentral:pre_miRNA from 1 species